UUAAAAGAAGUUUUGGCAAAACAUUAACUUUGGGAGUUAAAAAAUAAAUAUUAUUUACUUUUAAA
rnacentral:tRNA from 1 species